rnacentral:rRNA from 1 species
AUUGAACGCUGGCGGCAGGCCUAACACAUGCAAGUCGAACGAGCGGCGGACGGGUGAGUAAUGUCUGGGAAACUGCCUGAUGGAGGGGGAUAACUACUGGAAACGGUAGCUAAUACCGCAUACUAUCGGAUGUGCCCAGAUGGGAUUAGCUAGUAGGUGGGGUAACGGCUCACCUAGGCGACGAUCCCUAGCUGGUCUGAGAGGAUGAUCAGCCACCCUGGGACUGAGACACGGUCCAGACUCCUACGGGAGGCAGCAGUGGGGAAUAUUGCACAAUGGGCGCAAGCCUGAUGCAGCCAUGCCGCGUGUAUGAAGAAGGCCUUCGGGUUGUAAAGUACUUUCAGCGGGGAGGCGUUACCCGCAGAAGAAGCACCGGCUAACUCCGUGCCAGCAGCCGCGGUAAUAC